rnacentral:rRNA from 1 species
CGGAAGGCCCUUCGGGGUACUCGAGCGGCGAACGGGUGAGUAACACGUGAGUAACCUGCCCUAGGCUUUGGGAUAACCCUCGGAAACGGGGGCUAAUACCGAAUAUGACCUGACCUCGCAUGGGGUUGGGUGGAAAGUUUUUCGGCCUGGGAUGGGCUCGCGGCCUAUCAGCUUGUUGGUGGGGUGAUGGCCUACCAAGGCGACGACGGGUAGCCGGCCUGAGAGGGCGACCGGCCACACUGGGACUGAGACACGGCCCAGACUCCUACGGGAGGCAGCAGUGGGGAAUAUUGCACAAUGGGCGGAAGCCUGAUGCAGCGACGCCGCGUGAGGGAUGACGGCCUUCGGGUUGUAAACCUCUUUCAGCAGGGACGAAGCGUAAGUGACGGUACCUGCAGAAGAAGCACCGGCCAACUACGUGCCAGCAGCCGCGGUAAGACGUAGGGUGCGAGCGUUGUCCGGAUUUAUUGGGCGUAAAGAGCUCGUAGGCGGCUUGUCGCGUCGACCGUGAAAACUUGGGGCUCAACCCCAAGCCUGCGGUCGAUACGGGCAGGCUAGAGUUCGGUAGGGGAGACUGGAAUUCCUGGUGUAGCGGUGAAAUGCGCAGAUAUCAGGAGGAACACCGGUGGCGAAGGCGGGUCUCUGGGCCGAUACUGACGC